UGCUGGGAGGGGGCAAAGACAGAGGUCUUGCCUGUCCUGUCCUGCCCUCUCCUGUUCCUCCUUUGGACAGAAUUUGAUGUCACAAGAAGAUGCCCCUGUUUUUGCCAUCCUCAGGUCCAUUUUCAUUCUUCCACUGGGAGGGGGAAAGAGGAUGAAGGAAAAACUGGAUUGACUUCCUAGCCAAUCACCUACAGCUCUGAAAGGAUGAUCCACGGGAGUGAAAAGAGAGAUACACUGUGGAAACAUAUGUAAUAUAAAAACCAAGGGACAGUAUAGCAGGAGGGAUAAGAAGCUCUCAAUAUUGAAAUUCUGAAAGAAUUAAUUCAAAUAUCACAAGAGAAACAAUUCUGAUGAAGUGGCAAAUGAAGAAUUAAUAUAAGAGACAUUGAUGCAGAAACUGUGAAAAUAAAAAAGAAAGCAAAAGGUGGACAAGAAUGUGUUCUCACUGCCAUGUACUUGCAGCCAUUAUUGCCAUGGGGAGCAGAAGAAGAAAGAGAAAAAAUCCCUUCUCUCUCCUUGGUAGAAGUCCAAGAGAGACAAAGCACUGAAAGUAUCUCAAAAGAGACUAAUGAACUUAGUUUUUUUAAAAAUUAGGACAGACAAUGAAUGCAAAGACCAGUAGAAGAUAAAUAAGAAACACUAUCUAAGGAUAGCGUCAAGAGUAUUAAAGUUCAGAAUUUGCUGAAUGAGUUUCAUAGGAAAAGGUAAAGGUAGCCUUUCUAUUAUAUUAAGGGAAAAGGAGGGGGAGAACCAGAAUAUGUCCACUCUUCAGGACAGAUGGUACUAUGAAACUUCACAAAGAAGAAAAGGCAGAGUUGCUCAGCAAUUAUUUUGCUUGCAUUUUUAUCUGCCAAAGAAAAGUAUUUUUAAAUUGGAAAGGACAGGACAAAUUAUGUAAUAAGAAAUUGACACAAAAGAUAGUUAAGGUAAUAGCAAGUGAGCCUCUAGCUCCCUUGAUAGAGUAUAAGGCAAUUGGUUCAUAUGAACUGCAUUCUUGGGUUACUGGAUGAACUAGUGAAUGUGAUUGUUGAGGUAUUGUCAGUAAUAUUUGAAUGAGCAUGGAAAUACAAAGAGUUAUUGCAGUUUGGAAGAAGGGUAAAUAUCAUGGUUUAAAGAGAAGAGACUAAAGACUAAAAAGUAUGAGUGAAUCAGCUUGACUUCAAAUCACAAUCAAAAUUGUAUUAUUAAAUGAAUGUUUAGAGAAAAUCUAGAAAAGGAAUCCAUGAUUUGCAAAAAUCUGAGGUGGCUUCAUGAAAAACAAACCAUUCCAGGCUAGAUUAAUUUCUUUGAUAACAAGAGCACCAGAUUAACCAAUCAAGAAAAUAUUGAUAUAUUUAAAUUUGGCAGGGCAUUGGAUAAAGUUUCUUGUGGAAAAGAUGGAAUGAGGCAGACAAGAUGACAAUAUAAUUAAAUGGAUUAGAAACUGAUCAGAUGAUUGGAUUUGAGGGGGGAAGUUAUUAAUGGUUCCACUAAUUAAUUUGGAAGAUCACUAGUGAAUUAUUUUGUGGAAUUAUGCCUUGAUUUGUGCUCUUUAAUACUUACAUUUGAUAAAGGCACAUAUGUCAUGCUUUUUAAACUUAGAGAUAUAAAAUGUUUAUCCUGAAUUCAUAUUGUAUUUACCUUCAAAAAUUUCUAGACAUGGGACAGGUGAGUGAAGAAAUGCAUAAUCAAAUAAAAUUGAAUCUCACCAUAAUAAUUUACUCUCAUAAGAAAGUCACAUGUUAUGCUUAAGCAUAACUGAUUCCUCGGUUACUAGUGAACUCCACCUUGAAAAUUACUUUGUUUUUACUUGGGUAAUAUUUUUUCUUUUCUUAUGUCAUUACAUGUUACUCCUUUAUGGGAAUAUAGGCUCCUUGAAUCAGGACCUAUUUAAUUUGUAUCUUGUAAUUCUAGCAUGGAUAUUGACACUUAGUAACAUAUAGCAAAGAUAUAUUGAAUGAAUAAAAUAUAUCUCACAGCCCUUAUUUGGGAUUUCCUAAGAAAGAAAGAAGGCUAGUCAAGCACUCAUUCUGAGAACCUUACAGCAUAUCCGAAGCUGGCUGGUGCUUUAUAUAUGGGGCCCAAUAGUCUUCUAGUGCAAGGAGAGGAAUGUCAUCAUCAGGGACAACUAGGUGGCACAGUGGAUAGGGCAUUGAGUCUAGGAUUAAGAAGACCAAAGUACAAAUCCGACCUCAGAUAUUUACUCAUCAGUAAAAAUCCUUGUAGGAGUAUUGUAAAGAUCAAAAAAGAUACUAUCUAUAAGGCUCUUAGCAUAGUGCAUGGUACAUAAUGAGUGUUAAAUAAUAUUAUUAAUCAUCUGUGAAAUGACAAGAUGAAGAAGUUAGAAAUAAAUGCCAAAGUAACAAAUCACCAUCACUAUCAUCAUCAUUUAUUAAGCUAAGGUUUCCAAAAAUGUGAUCUGAGAAACCAUGGGGUUUCACAGGCCAAGGGAUUUUGUAACAAAUAAAACUGUAAUGGCAGACAAUCCCUCACAGUCAUCCACUUUGUUUUCU